GACGAACGCUGGCGGCGUGCUUAACACAUGCAAGUCGAACGAUGAAGCCGGAGCUUGCUCUGGUGAAUUAGUGGCGAACGGGUGAGUAACACGUGAGUAACCUGCCCUUGACUCUGGGAUAACUGCGGGAAACUGUAGCUAAUACCGGGUACGACCCUCGGAGGCAUCUCCUGGGGGUGGAAAGAAUUUCGGUCAAGGAUGGACUCGCGGCCUAUCAGCUAGUUGGUGAGGUAAAGGCUCACCAAGGCGACGACGGGUAGCCGGCCUGAGAGGGUGACCGGCCACACUGGGACUGAGACACGGCCCAGACUCCUACGGGAGGCAGCAGUGGGGAAUAUUGCACAAUGGGCGCAAGCCUGAUGCAGCAACGCCGCGUGAGGGAUGACGGCCUUCGGGUUGUAAACCUCUUUUAGCAGGGAGGAAGCGAAAGUGACGGUACCUGCAGAAAAAGCACCGGCUAACUACGUGCCAGCCGCCGCGGUAA
rnacentral:rRNA from 1 species